rnacentral:tRNA from 1 species
AAUCUUCUCAAGGUAU